CAAGUACUCCAUUCCAAAUUGCCAUUGUGAAGUCAUCUUAAUAAUUCUUGUACACCAACAAACUCAGAACAGCACUGCUUCAGUUUCUCCCUACUGCUGCCAUUCUAGAGAUGAGAGAUGCACAAGCCAACCUCAGGGCUAUGCCACCAAAGGAAACCAUGUAUGCUCUUGGCCUGGCUAAACAUGGCACAGUUGGCACAUGGAUAAAGAAGGUCACCGUGGAAGCACAAACAGAAACAGCACAACAUUUUAUCCUUGUCACCACUUCGUGAACAAGCCCAAAGGAGCCUGCCAGUGGAUGAGACCCCAUGGAAGAGAUCCUAAUUGUCCCAAUCAAAGUGACCUUAAACCAGCCUACAGUCAGCCAGCCAUUGAACAUGUGAGAGAGCCCAGCCUAGAAAAACAGAGCUCCCUAUCUGGCCCAGAGUUGGCCAGAGACUCAGAGUGAGCUGGCCAACGUCAGAAGUAUCCAGCCAAACCAAGGGCAAUAAAUCAUACUGUUUUAGGCCACAGAGUUUGGGGUAGCUUGUUAUGUAACAGUGCUAACUGACACAGAGAACCUACUAUCUGCCCUCUGUUCAUGAGACAACAAUUCCUUCAUAGGAAGAAAAUACAUCUGUUAUUCUGGCAGAUAAACCCAUGGCCAGACUCUUGCCAUUUGAUUUCACUGGU